rnacentral:misc_RNA from 1 species
GGUGAAGAACGUAGCGAAAUGCGAUACUUGGUGUGAAUUGCAGAAUCCCGCGAAUCAUCGAGUUUUUGAACGCAAGUUGCGCCCGAAGCCAUUCGGCCGAGGGCACGUCUGCCUGGGUGUCACGCAUCGUUGACCCUCCAAACUCCGGUUCGGGCGGGGCGGAAGUUGGCCUCCCGUGCGUGCCUGCGCGCGCGGUUAGCCCAAAAGCGAGUCCUCGGCGACGAGCGCCACGACAAUCGGUGGUUUUUUUACCCUCGUUCCUCGUCGUGCGUGCCCCGUCGCCCGAACGCGCUCUUGCGACCCUUACGCGUCGCCUCGGCGGCGCUCCCAACGCGACCCCAGGUCAGGCGGGACUACCCGCUGAGUUUAAGCAUAUCAAUAAGCGGAGGA